rnacentral:lncRNA from 15 species
AUGAAUCUAUACAGGAGCUUUGGAAACCUCAUGGAGGCCUGGGUGUCUGAAGGAGGCCAGUGUUCGGACCCAGAAUGGUCUGAAAAUAAUGAGGAAGACUCUCCUACACCUUCCUCUGACAUGGGGACCAACCUGCGCUCAGAAUCGGUGGACUCUGGAGUGGAGACAGCCAGCUCUAACUUGUCCUUUCUCGCUACAUCCUGCUCCAUCUCAAGGGAUAAUGCAGAAAUAGACACAUUUACACCAGAAGGGGAAGACCACAGACUCACUCCAGCCUCAACAUCACAGUCUCCUGUGCCUUCCUUAUCCUCCUCUUCCUCCAUGCGCCUCUGUCCCAGCAGAGCUCAGGGGGGCUACACUGCCUUGAGUCAAAAACUGGAGGAAGCAUUACAGAGAACUGAGUCUAAACACCUGAAGGACAAGCCAGAGCCCAUCACUGUGGGUGAGGUGCUCAGACGACAACCUGGAGCAUCUUUUCUACCAAAACGGCACACAUCGGAGUUAGUGAGGGGUCAAAGGUCGGCGAGUUUUAGCCUGAGCAGGACAGUCAACCCAUCAGUGCCUACAAGGCAGUUGUGCAGACGACCAAUGUCUAUGAUUUGUAACAGGCAGCCAGCUCAGACAAGAUUGGAGGACCUUGGUGAGGAGGAGGGGAAAGUACUGAGUCCCGGGCUCUGCUACUUGGAGCAGGUGUGCCAAAUGUUAGAGGAAAUUGCCAGAAAACAGAUGCACAACCAAGCGUUGCAGAUGGAGACGAAUGCCCUGCGGGAGCAUCAAGACAUGGAGGCUCUCGACGGCCAUCAGAGUGACUCUAAAGCUACUGAAGACGUCCCCUCUUCUUGUCGAAGGCUUGAAGAGACAGAAAGUGCAGAGCCCAGUUCCAGUGAACCACAGCAACAGAAAGAUUAUCCUCAAAGGCAUUUUCGACAGCGAUCAUCUUCAGACGCACCUAUUACAACACUGCAUUUAAGAAAGUUGAAUUCAGACUGCAGAGGGCAGCAUCUGAGUACAGAUGACCUGCUGCAGAAAACAGAGGACGACCAUGAAAAACAGGAGUGUACAAAAGAGAAGAUGACUAAAACUAACAAGAACUGGAAGUUAAGAUUUGGGUCUUUAGGAAGAGAGGAGUCUGCUGGGCGAGAUGUAAAGAGCCAACAGAUGCAGUCAUCUGAGAGAAACUCAGCCCGGCGACGGUUCAGCCAGCUGUUCAGGAGGACCAGGAGGAAAACUCUGCCUGUAUAA